GGCACCAGUACAGGAAGCCAUGACAGAGGGCUGUCUCAGCAUCAACACAGACUGCCUGACUCUUUCAGAGACCAUGUAUAAGAGAACCCAGAUUCCAGCGUAUGACUCUUCUUGUCUCCUGAUGCUUGACUCUUCGUUUGCCAUUUGACCCAUCUCAGACUCGGACCUCCCAGUAACCUGACCCUGCCUGCCUCUUGGUUUGCCAUCUGGCCUGUAUUGGACUCUAGCCUUCUGGUACCCUUGUUGCCCUGGAUUUGAGGGCCAACAAUUCCAAAAGUGAUUAGUGAUUUUUGGGUGCCAUCAUUUUUUGGGUGUCCCCCUUGAGAUAUCUGCCAGUGGCCAGACUUUCAGAAGAGGAGCAAAGCAAGAGAAGCAAAGCAGGCGGUCAUGUCAGCGCAAAAGGGACCAAGUCGCAAAGGUAUAAAUCAAAGUUAAAGCAUCAUAUCUGAUGAAGGCCGCACUCCAGUUCUCCACCGCUGCUAUCCCUUUAUCAUAACUCAGGUCAUCUCAGAACCUUGUAGGAGCCACGCUCUGAGAUGGAAUCGUUGCGGAUCUGGAUGCAGGGUGCGACCUGAGUCCUGGGACAGUAGAUGAGUCAGAAGUGGGAGUAUGAUUGGUGACACACCACCAUCCUGAGAAGGACCAUGACAAUUUCAAAACAAGCAAGAAACUACAAAGGUUUGAGGCGGAUCAAAGGAAAACAGUCAGGAAUUGGACUGGGAAAGAUAUUUGGCAGGACAUUCUAUGGUGAAUCAAGAAGAGAUCAAACAACUUUAGGGAUCAAACCAUUCAGCUAUUCUAAUAAUGUUCCUUGUUCAGUAUUACAUGCAAACAACUCAUUCUGUGCUUCUGUACCAUUGUCAUGUGAUAUUUUCCAAGGACUGGGUUUUUUUGUUUGGUUGGUUUUUAAAA